UGUUCAAACAGCUGCUUCCACAAAAGGCCUAAGCUUUUCCCAGCAAAAUUCUGUGACUGCUAUGUGCCCAGCUCCCAGAACUUUGGAGUUGAUGCCUCAGUUGGGGAUGGUCACAGAAUAGACAAUGGGACUGCACAGAAGCACUGGCGACUAGAGGAGCCCUGGCUGUUGUCCACCUCCUGGAAAGUUUGCCACAAGAUCUUAAAUAACUUUGGUGCAAUACAAGACUACUGCAGAAACUUGGCAAGAAAAUGGAAUUAAAGUCACUACACUUUUUCAAGUUCUUUCGAACAAGACCUGCCUGCGGAGGAUGAAGUUGGAGACGUGUCAGCAGGAAAGCAAAAGAAAUGGAGUUCCUGGGGCCCUUUGCAGGCAUUCCAUUAGCUAGAGCAGUGCUGGCUUUCCAACCAGCAAAGAAAAGCACAAGCAAUUUGCCCAGGCCUCCAGGUCAUCCCCCCGGCAUCCUCCGAAGAACAAGUCAGACUUGGGAGAAACACAGACUCGUCCAAGGAGGGGUGAUCCAAGAAGCCUGGCUUCAGCUCCAUCCUGGCGCCUGUCUAUGAGCACCCAAGGCCACCGUGUCCCCACCCAGGCCAGGAAAGGGCAGGGCGGCCAGCACGAGCACCAGAGCCUGCGGCAGGAUGUCCAGCCCAUUUGUGGCUCAGCCACAGCCACAGGGGAUGGGAGGCCGGUCCAUCACUGCGCCUGCCCCAGGCUUUCAGCUCAGCUGGAGGUCUCCCAAGGUUGGGUUUCUGGGACUCCGCCUGGGACCUGGCAAAAUCCCCACAUCCCCUGUAACUCAUAAUAGCUACUGUUUAGUGAGCUGUUCUCAGACAAUGUGCUGCAUGUUUGCAUAAUACCCACCCUCCUUAUAAUGGUAAUAUAACUAAAAUAAUUUUGAAAGGAUUUUCCCAAGGAGGGGUGCAUAGCUGUCUGGACUAACACCUGGGAGAUCUGACUCUGUAUCUUCACUCAUCAUAAGACAAUAUAUUUAAGUUAGGAUAAUUGUAGCUUGUAUGUGUUUUCAUACAUCAACUCAUUUUAUCCCCCACAGAUGAUCUUAAGAACAAGCUGUCCUUCUAUUGAUGAGGAAAUGGAAGAAAGGUUUGGUGUAGAAUAGAGAGAUGUCCCACCAGUAACCAUGCACUGGGUUAGGGACAGAAGCCUACCUCCUGGCUUUUGAUUCGGAAAUUAAUCUAACUCAUUCCUAAUAUAUUCAUGCACAUGCAUGCAGACACACACACACACACACACGCACACGUGCGCAAACACUUCACUCCUGGGGAGAAAGGGAACAGGUGGAAAGAGAGUUGAUAGUUAAGGAGGCUGGAUCAUGACAAUGUGAGUUUUAAUUUCUCAAUUCUCUGUCCACUUAUUGGCAUUUGUCAAGUCAUCCAUUGCAUAAGCCAACUCUUCUAUCCCAAUCUUGAAUUCCCAUGUUGAUCAUUGUCGCUACAUGGUAAUCUCUAUAAAUUCAAGACAUAUGUGUGAUAGUGAUCCCUUGGGGGCAACUGAAAAGAAUAAGAUUGUCUGAUUUGGCUAAAAGAAUGAAGGUGGUUAAUGAAAAUGUGCCUGUGUGGGAUCUUAAAUGUUUAUAUGUGCUUGAGCAUAGUAUCUGCCCUCAUAGACCAGACUCUACUCUAAUCAAUAGUGGCACUUUUAUGCACUUAAGAACUAUUUAUACACACAUAAAAAAAACUCACAGUUGCCAAUUCUAAAUGUAUUAGAUGCUAUUUCCUAGACCUGUUCUUUUCUAUGUAUCUAUCAAAGAUAGAUGAUAUCAAAGGUAGAUAUCAAAGAUAGAUAAAGAUAUCAAAGAUGGUGUGACCCUCAGAGUCUUCACUUGAGGAUUAUCCAGUGAAUUCUGUUGGGCCCUUCUUUGAUCAGUGGUCCUGUAUGACACCCCUCCCCCUCAUAAGAUGUCCUCUGUUGGAGGAGAUAGGAUAUGGACCUACAAGGCCUUGAGCAUCCAAAGACUGUGAACAACCCACAGACAAUGAGUAGUAAGAGUAGGUCAUCAUUUAAAGGCUGUUAGUGAGUGGUGUUGGGGUUGGGAGGGCAGGGAGUUCUUGUGAGACAACAUCCUGUGCCAAACCUGCUUCCACUCAGCUCCCUGGUCCUCAAGGUGGAAACUUCCUCUUUUCCCCCAACCAGGCUCCUGCUUUUCCCACUGUAGUUCCAGAAGCCCACCAGCCCUCCCUUCUCCCUUUCCCAAACUUGGCUUGAUUUUAAAAAUAAGGUAAAAGUGGAGCUCCGUAUAACUUAAAGGCUCCCAUAGAAUGGUGUUUUCCAUGAACCUUUGUUUCUCCUUCCAUGUGACUACAGGAGGAGAAAUGGCUAUAGGGAAAAGCACACUUAAAAACUGCACAAAGUGAUAUUUCAAAAUAUAACUCUUCCCCUUGCUUAAUGAGAUCCUCCUCAUCCUUUUCUCUAAGACUCACUUCUUCCUUGAGGCCUGCUUACUCUAUUCCAGAAUUUAACAGUCAUUCCUCCCUCAAAUUCACAUUAUCUAUACCAUUCAUUUGUCUCUGUGUAACUAAUCACACUGUCUUACUAUAGUUUUGUUUUGCUGGCUUUUAGUGUAUUUGCAACUCAGGUUUUGUCUUGUCUUUCAACUACAUUAUCAAUGCCUUCAGAACUAAGAAAAUCCCAAAAAAACACUUUGCAUGCUACUGUGUCUUACAUACAGCAAAAAAUCUACUGGUAAGCCAAUGGAUUCUCAUUCUGGAAGCAUCUCUGAGGUAUACUUGACUAAGACAAAAAGGAAGCCAGUCAACAUGGAACAUAUGCUUGUUAAUUUUAUGAGUCAACACGACUGGGCCUCACGGUGCCCAGAUAUUUAGUCAAACAUUGAGUACUCUGAGUACCUGUAAGGGUGUUUCUGUGCCCUCGCUAAUGUGGGUAGACGUCAUUCAGUAGACCAAAGUUCUGAAUACAAAACACACUCUUGUGAAUGACACAGAAUUUUCUCCUGUCCACCUACAUUCAAGCUCAAGCUGAAACAGGCCCUUCCUGGGUCUUGAACAUGCUGGCAUUUGGAUUCCAGCUACACCAUCAGCUCCUCGAGGUCUUGAACUUGCCAACUACACAUCUUGGGACUUGUGAGCCUCUCUAAGUGGGUGAGCCAAUUCCUUGCAAUAAAUCUUUACCUAUUUCUUUAGCUAUGUCUAUAUUUAUCUCCUGUUGCUACUGUUUCUCUAGAGAAUCUUGACUAACAUAGACUAAUGUCCCAAAGCUUUGUAUUUGGGGAAACCUCCUGUCCUGAGUACUAUGGUUCAAGGUCCUGACACAGAUGCAAGGUAGGAAUCAUGCAACCUAAAAAAACGGGCAAAUAUUAGAAGGGAGUUUCUAUUGGUGACAAGGAUGAUGAUAAACACGUAGCUAUUAACUGUGUUCUGGAUACUGUUCUAAAUCAUUAACAUCUAUGAGCUGUAAAUGUAAAUCCUUUACAUGUAUGAGUUGAUUUAAUCUGUACAAUAGUCUCUAUGAUCUAUCUAUAUUUAUAUAAGUAACAUUAAUGUAUACCAGAACGUAAUGUAUUCAUUAUGAAAGAACAAUAACAAUUACAAGAGAUUAACUUUCCAAGUAAGAGUCAUUUUCCUAUUAAGACUUAAUACUUACACUGGGGAAAUAGCAUAUGGAGUGAUAUUAAGGGUGUUUGCAUUUUUUAAGUGCUGUAAAGCUCUCUAUUACCAGGGAAAAGAAAUUCCACUCAAUUAGAUCAUGAAACUGAGUAUUACACAGUUUGAGUCCCAAGAUUAGAAAGGCUUGAAGAGAUUGAAUACAGGUGAAAACUAAUUGAAGAUGUGCUGUGAUAUAUAUUAAGACUGGAGCUGUGUCUGUUACAAGCAGUCACGGUAUCUCUCUUCCAUUGUUCCUUCAUGUGGUCUCCCUGAAUAGUACAACUCAUUUCCAGUAGAAAUGAAUCUUACGUGUCGAAGUCGUUUGUGGUGAGCUGAGUCUGGAGAAUUUUGGUCCCUAAGUAACACACAAUCUAAUUGUCUGCUGUUGCACUGUGUUUAGGGAAAGUAGAAAUUCAAUUCCUGAGCUGCCACAAGCCAGUGGAGAGACAGCAGGCUGAAUUUGUCAUGGUACAAAAAAUUAAAACAAAAUAUUCUCCAAUGCUGGCAUAUUUUUUAAUAAAUGUUGCUAAUGUAUAUGAUUUUUUCCAGGAAAUUUGAGUUCUUGGAGUUUAAGAAUUCAGUAGAAUAAGGAAAAGUUGAAAGAAACAUCAUAAAAUUCUCAGCUUGGUUUGGUCAUGAAUUUCUUUUUAAUGCAAAAACUAUAUAUAUGAUAAUUCCCAGGUGAAUCAUUUUAUUAUUUACUCAAAAACUAGUAAUAACAUUAUGGUUAAUUUUUCUGUUUCAUUUUCCAAAUGAGGACUUGCUUACUGUAUCAUUGAAUAAAACCAUGAAGCUCUCAUUAGGACAAUGUCAAACACCCUACAACCCUUAUGAGCCCUUUUGCUAUCACUGCCACACAUUGUACCCCAGUAUAUUCACCCUGCUUGUUCCCAGGAGGACCAGAUGAUAGAGUAUAAAUAGAGCAGCAUGUAAUUGAUGUCUAAAAUAGGAAUUGAAUGAAUACUGAUUGGUGUUACAGUCUCAAAUGUUACAUUUGGCAACAGUUAUCAAUAACUGUCACCCCUUUUAAACUAAAUUUAGCACUUUCAUAUUGUAGAAUAUAUGUAAAAUAAUAGGAAUCUCCAUUAUACCGAAAAGAGUUCUUUACGUGUAUACCUCUCUGAAUUUUUCCAUGACACUUCAAGUGCAAUAAAUGUCACUGUCUGUGGGACAUGCAGCCACCAGCUGCCUACACACACACACACACACACAGAAAGAGAGAGAGAGAGAGAGAGAGAGAGAGAGAGAGAGAGAGAGAUUGAAUAAGCUUCCAGGCCUGGGAGACACCCUGAUCCAGGCUAUAUCACACAGCAAAGCUGUGCAUCCACCACUGCCUCUGGGCCUGGACUUGAGAAAGCACAGCCUAUUUGAAAUUGGCUCCCAGAGCGUAACAAAUGCUUUCUUUUCACUCUCAUUUUGGUGGGGAACUUGAAAGAAAAAGCUGCUAUACAUCCCCUCCGGCAUCAGGAAGCCUGGAAGAGAUCUCAGAAGGAAAGACUCAGCCCACAGACAUCUUAAGGAGAGUUUCAAAAAUUGGGAAACUUUACAUAGAUGGAAGAUUUUUGUAGCUUCUCUUGAGAGGUCAAAGGAUCAAGCUUCACUGGACUGACAUUCCCAGGUGGCAGUAGUUGGUGGUAGCUUAGUAGUGGCUGCUCUUCUCAGGGGGCCCCACUCACCACAGGCCCUUACAAGUCCCAGAUUUCUCCCUCUUUCCUUUGCCCAUCUGGUCCUUAACAAGGUGGAAGUUGUUACCCAACCUAAAAACAAUAGCAGUGGGAAUGUGGUGUCUGUGACAGUGAGGAAAAUCCUCAAACGUAUCAAUUAUUUUGUCAUGAAAUUGUAAGUAACCUGAGAUCCUACAAUACUAGUAUAUUUGCACUCACAACUGUUCUCCCUCUCAAUUUCAUAUUUCAGUAAGCAAAUAGUGCAUAAAACCUAUCAUGGGUAAGGCACUGUUUCCAAAUUCAUGAGUUAACUCAUUUUGAUCUUCAUAAUAAUCCUAUGAGCUGGGGACUGUCUUCACCUCAUUUUUCAGAUGAGAAAACUAAGGCACAGAGGUUAAGUAACUUGCCAAGAUCACAUUGCUGGUUGGCAGCACAGCCAAGAAUUGAACCUGGCUGACCUCACUCGAGUCUUGACUUUCAGCUGCAAUCAUAUGCUUCAAUGCACCACAUACACUUGGUUAAAAAUUCAGUUCUUCAAAAUGUCUCUCCAUGUCUAUCAAUGGUACCCUGAAUCCCCAUUGCUGAACUGGUUUUGCCUCCUCCAAGUUCCAGUGCUUACUGCCACCAUAACACGCAUCAUACCAGCUGAACUUCCUAUCUAGUGUCUAAAGCAAGAAGAGUAUCUUAUUCCCUGUCAUGCAGUUCAUAGCAGACAUCCAAUAAGUGUUUGUUGAAUGAAAAAAUAAAAUAUAUGCCUUUUAAUUUUUGUAUUUCUACCCUCUUGUACCAAAUUGAAAUCAUGUCAAAAUUGGACCAAUAAAAGCCUACUAAAUGGUCUCAUUGCCUCUGG